ACUGCUCAGUAACACGUGGAUAACCUGCCCUUGGGUCCGGCAUAACCCCGGGAAACUGGGGAUAAUUCCGGAUAACGCACAUAUGCUGGAAUGCUUUAUGCGUAAAAUGGAUUCGUCUGCCCGAGGAUGGGUCUGCGGCCUAUCAGGUAGUAGUGGGUGUAAUGUACCUACUAGCCAACAACGGGUACGGGUUGUGAGAGCAAGAGCCCGGAGAUGGAUUCUGAGACAUGAAUCCAGGCCCUACGGGGCGCAGCAGGCGCGAAAACUUUACAAUGCGGGAAACCGUGAUAAGGGGACACCGAGUGCCAGCGUCAUACGCUGGCUGUCCAGGUGUGUAAAAUACACCUGAUAGCAAGGGCCGGGCAAGACCGGUGCCAGCCGCCGCGGUAACACCGGCGGCCCGAGUGGUAAUCGUGAUUAUUGGGUCUAAAGGGUCCGUAGCCGGUUUGGUCAGUCCUCCGGGAAAUCUGACAGCUCAACUGCUAGGCUUUCGGCGGAUACUGCCAGACUUGGAACCGGGAGAGGUAAGAGGUACUACAGGGGUAGGAGUGAAAUCUUGUAAUCCCUGUGGGACCACCUGUGGCGAAGGCGUCUUACCAGAACGGGUUCGACGGUGAGGGACGAAAGCUGGGGGCACGAACCGGAUUAGAUACCCGGGUAGUCCCAGCCGUAAACGAUGCUCGCUAGGUGUCAGGCAUGGCGCGACCGUGUCUGGUGCCGCAGGGAAGCCGUGAAGCGAGCCACCUGGGAAGUACGGCCGCAAGGCUGAAACUUAAAGGAAUUGGCGGGGGAGCAC
rnacentral:rRNA from 1 species